rnacentral:rRNA from 1 species
CGUGUGAAGCAGAGCUUGCUCUGUGGAUCAGUGGCGAACGGGUGAGUAACACGUGAGCAAUCUGCCCCUGACUCUGGGAUAAGCGCUGGAAACGGCGUCUAAUACCGGAUACGAGCUGCGAAGGCAUCUUCAGCAGCUGGAAAGAAUUUCGGUCAGGGAUGAGCUCGCGGCCUAUCAGCUUGUUGGUGAGGUAACGGCUCACCAAGGCGUCGACGGGUAGCCGGCCUGAGAGGGUGACCGGCCACACUGGGACUGAGACACGGCCCAGACUCCUACGGGAGGCAGCAGUGGGGAAUAUUGCACAAUGGGCGAAAGCCUGAUGCAGCAACGCCGCGUGAGGGACGACGGCCUUCGGGUUGUAAACCUCUUUUAGCAGGAAAGAAGCGAAAGUGACGGUACCUGCAGAAAAAGCGCCGGCUAACUACGUGCCAGCAGCCGCGGUAAUACGUAGGGCGCAAGCGUUAUCCGGAAUUAUUGGGCGUAAAGAGCUCGUAGGCGGUCUGUCGCGUCUGCUGUGAAAACCCGAGGCUCAACCUCGGGCCUGCAGUGGGUACGGGCAGACUAGAGUGCGGUAGGGGAGAUUGGAAUUCCUGGUGUAGCGGUGGAAUGCGCAGAUAUCAGGAGGAACACCGAUGGCGAAGGCAGAUCUCUGGGCCGUAACUGACGCUGAGGAGCGAAAGGGUGGGGAGCAAACAGGCUUAGAUACCCUGGUAGUCCACCCCGUAAACGUUGGGAACUAGUUGUGGGGUCCAUUCCACGGAUUCCGUGACGCAGCUAACGCAUUAAGUUCCCCGCCUGGGGAGUACGGCCGCAAGGCUAAAACUCAAAGGAAUUGACGGGGACCCGCACAAGCGGCGGAGCAUGCGGAUUAAUUCGAUGCAACGCGAAGAACCUUACCAAGGCUUGACAUAUACUAGAACGGGCCAGAAAUGGUCAACUCUUUGGACCCUCGUAAACAGGGGAUGCAUGGUUGU